rnacentral:lncRNA from 1 species
UUGUAUAGCACCCUUUUCUUGCAACAAUUACCCAAUCUGCCGGGCCCUGGUCUCCAAUGUUUGUUCGGCUACACAAUUCAGUUCUUGAAAUUGAUGCAAAUCUCUCUCCAGCUGUGCUAAUGCUGUGUAACAGUGCUCUCUUUCAGCCUUGAAGUCUUUUGCUUGCUUAACCAUUUUGUUUUCAACCAUGAUGACCCUCUUCUUUAACCUCG